CGCGUGGACACGCGCGGGGCUACCGAUGCAAUAACGGAGCCGUGCACGCGACAACAGAUCGCACCGUCAACAGCGGCCGGUGGAGGUGGAGGAGGUGGGGGACUAACUUACUAACUUAACUACGAGGAGGAAAAAGCUCGUCUCGCCGAGGAGGGCGUCGAGGAAAAAGAAGCGAAACGUGGAGUUUGGCGCGCGCUGACUCCCGGUGCUGGCGGGGAAACGCGCGAGCUGCUCUCCUCCUCCUCGGCUGAUGUUCAGAUGGUUACACGGAGGGAGAAGAAGGGGAGAAAACAUGCGAGAGGGCGAGAAUCGCCGAUUUGGAUGUUGUUGUUUUUGAUGUUCCAGGUCCGUGACGUCACAUCCACCUGCUGGGUGAAGCGCGUUUGCCGCGUCGCGGAUCCUCCGCCGCGCAUCACAGCCGCGCGACCACGAGUGCGUCCUUUCCGCUGCGCGCUGAGCUCAACGCGUGACACGGACUACAACUUAUUAUUUCA
ensembl:lncRNA